AGAGUUUGAUUAUGGCUCAGAUUGAACGCUGGCGGCAGGCUUAACACAUGCAAGUCGAGCGGGGAUAGGGUGCUUGCACCUGAUUCCUAGCGGCGGACGGGUGAGUAAUGCUUAGGAAUCUGCCUAUUAGUGGGGGACAACGUUCCGAAAGGGACGCUAAUACCGCAUACGUCCUACGGGAGAAAGCAGGGGAUCUUCGGACCUUGCGCUAAUAGAUGAGCCUAAGUCGGAUUAGCUAGUUGGUGGGGUAAAGGCCUACCAAGGCGACGAUCUGUAGCGGGUCUGAGAGGAUGAUCCGCCACACUGGGACUGAGACACGGCCCAGACUCCUACGGGAGGCAGCAGUGGGGAAUAUUGGACAAUGGGGGCAACCCUGAUCCAGCCAUGCCGCGUGUGUGAAGAAGGCCUUUUGGUUGUAAAGCACUUUAAGCGAGGAGGAGGCUUACCUGGUUAAUACCCGGGAUAAGUGGACGUUACUCGCAGAAUAAGCACCGGCUAACUCUGUGCCAGCCGCGGC
rnacentral:rRNA from 1 species